GAAUUGUUGAAUGGAAUUGCAGCCCUUAACCGCACUAUUUAUUCUCGGCACCGUCAGAUCACUAACUAAGGCCUACUAUCGUCCCUGCUCGAACGGAAGGAGACUCUAAGGAAGUUCGCUUCAAUUGACGCGUCGAUAAGUCACUACAGCUUGAGACUCAGACUUUCCUAUUGCCCCAACAAUCGCACCCACACUAAUGAACUUGAAGAAUCGACCGACAAACCAACCAACUUGCAUAAAGCGACUUGCCCACUUACAAAGAAGAUUGAAAGGAAAGGCCGGAAACUCAAACUCUCCUAACGCGAGCUCUAGUAUAGAAAGAAUCUCAGGUCAUUAUGGAAUCAGAGCUUAACUAUGUUUAUGUUUGGUUAGUGAGUUCGCCCGUGAGCUUUGAUAUAGUGUGUAACCCGCAUAUAACAGGCUCUCUUUUCUUAUAUCACUCAAAUGAAUCCGGUUCUAAAUCCACUUUCUUUCCUUUUUAUUGAAAGCUAUAUCCUCCCCGGUUACUUGUUCCACCCACGUAAGUAAGGCACGUUACUUGUUCCACCCACGUAAGUAAGGCACAAAGGGCGAUAACUUCUAGUCUAAGACCGACGCUACUCUGACUUGAGACAACACCUCUUCUGACUCUAAUUACCUAUGCUUUCUAUAUUCAACGAGAUCUACUUUUCUUUCUUUGGAAUCUGAUUCCGAUCUUGCUUCUGCUUCAACUGAAACUCCACUUGAUACUUUUAGAGCAGACUCUUGUUCCCCCAGCUGCUAUUCUUUUUUGGAAUUGAAUGAUGAAACUAAUUCACAAAGCGCUUCAAAGCCAGAGUACUAUACUAUCUAUCUAUCUUAUUUUCUCCCCUGAACUCAACUCAGCCUCUCUCUGUAAUAAUCAUUAUACUUCUGCCCUCCCUUACUUGUUCUUUCUUUUGUCAUUGCUUGUGGAUUAUGAGAUGCACAUUCGAAAAUGGAGAAACCUAACAUCACUGCUGCAUUGCUUCCUUUUCAAUACUAAACUCCUUCUCCGUUAGCACUAGGGAACAAACAAGGAUUAUAGAAAACUUCAUUAUAAGAGCGUACACCCAAAGAGACGAGACUCAAGCUUGAACCCGCCCGAACACAAUAAGCGUAAGCGCAACGGAAACAAACAAGCAAGGGCGAAGAAGGUAAUAAUAGAGUAAGUACAAGCAAGCUUAGGCGUUAGGGAGUUACUUCAUCGGUUGUAGUGAGUUCCGGAGUUAUGAGUUAUUUGAUUUGAUUAUAGAAUCUGUCUACUACUAUCAACUUUCAACAUUGGCAAAUAAGGAGUUGGGCGCUUUAACCAUUCCGCCAUGGAUGCUAAACAGAGAUCUGAGUACAUCGUUCAUAUUCUCUUAUUCUAGUUAAGAGUCAUAUUCUACUAGUGGAGAGUGUUUUGUGACUUUACAAUCUUCUUUCCUAUGCGCACUACAAUUUGAUGAAUUUAGGAGAGUUGACUUGACUGCAUUAGAGAGAUAUGUAACUACUAUUUCUUAUUCCAUCGUAGUGACUGCUUUAAGGUAAAGGAGCAGGUCUAUGUUCUUAGGUUCAAAUCAUUAUAAGGCGAGUUUGAGAGUUUCAAUAUGUUACAUUAGAGCUACUAUAGAGAAACGCCCAGAAAUAGGGGUUCACGGAGCACAGUGUACUUAACUUACGUUUGAGGGAAGGGCUUGUGUUUGUUUCGUUGUCGACGAUAACUCUCCGUAAGCGCCCCGAAACUCCAAUAAGUGGUUGCUAUGGGGCGCGAAUUGCACUCGCAAGACGUUGUAUAGAAUAGAGUAAACAACACACAGCUUCCUGCUUUCAUACGAAACUCUUCCCUUCUUGUAUAAAUUCUUCCAAGACCGGAUUCCCUUAAUAACGAAUAUCUGCUGCACCCUUUCUCUUUUCUAUACUAAACUGGCUACUCAACGAGAUACUUGACUUUAGACUUGAUCGAGAGCGCAACUAAGUAGGUGGAGUGUGAAGCUACCUAU
rnacentral:lncRNA from 1 species